rnacentral:rRNA from 1 species
GACGAACGCUGGCGGCGUGCUUAACACAUGCAAGUCGAACGGCAACGCUCCCUUUUGCUGGAGGGGAUCAGUGGCGAACGUGUGUGAAACAUGGGAGCAACCUGCCUCUGACUCUGGAAUAAGCGCUGGAAACUGCGUCUAAUACUGGAUACGAGAAGGGUCCGCAUGGGCACGUUCUGGAAUGUUUUGCGGUUGGGGAUGGGCUCGCGGCCUAUCAGCUGGUUGGUGAGGUACUGGCUCACCAAGGCGGCGACGGAUAGCCGGCCUGAGAGGGCGACCGGCCACACGGGGCCUACGACACGGCCCAGACGCGUACGGGAGGCAGCAGGGGGGAAUAUUACCCAGUGGGCGAGAGCCUGAGGAGGCGACGCCGGGUGGGGGAUGACGGCCUUCGGGUUAUAAACCGGUUGCCGCAGGGAAGGAGCGAUAGUGACGGUACCUGCAGAAGAAGCACCGGCUAACUACGUG